rnacentral:tRNA from 1 species
UGGGGUGUAGUAUAACGGUUAGUAUCUCAAAUUCCAAAUUUGAUUGUGGUGGUUCGAUUCCGCCCACCCCAG